GUGGGGAAUAUUGGACCAAUGGGCGAAAGCCUGAUCCAGCAAUGCCGCGUGUGUGAAGAAGGCCUUCGGGUUGUAAAGCACUUUUAUCAGGAGCGAAAUACUGCCGGCUAAUACCCGGCGGGUCUGACGGUACCUGAGGAAUAAGCACCGGCUAACUUCGUGCCAGCAGCCGCGGUAAUACGAAGGGUGCAAGCGUUAAUCGGAAUUACUGGGCGUAAAGCGUGCGUAGGCGGUUAUUUAAGUCUGCUGUGAAAUCCCCGGGCUCAACCUGGGAAUGGCAGUGGAUACUGGAUAGCUAGAGUGUGAUAGAGGAUGGUGGAAUUCCCGGUGUAGCGGUGAAAUGCGUAGAGAUCGGGAGGAACAUCAGUGGCGAAGGCGGCCAUCUGGAUCAACACUGACGCUGAGGCACGAAAGCGUGGGGAGCAAACAGGAUUAGAUACCCUGGUAGUCCACGCCCUAAACGAUGCGAACUGGAUGUUGGUCUCAACUCGGAGAUCAGU
rnacentral:rRNA from 1 species